rnacentral:rRNA from 1 species
GACGAACGCUGGCGGCGUGCUUAACACAUGCAAGUCGAACGCUGAAGCUUGGUGCUUGCACCGGGUGGAUGAGUGGCGAACGGGUGAGUAAUACGUGAGUAACCUGCCCUUGACUCUGGGAUAAGCCUGGGAAACUGGGUCUAAUACUGGAUACGACAUGUCACCGCAUGGUGGUGUGUGGAAAGGGUUUUACUGGUUUUGGAUGGGCUCACGGCCUAUCAGCUUGUUGGUGGGGUAAUGGCUCACCAAGGCGACGACGGGUAGCCGGCCUGAGAGGGUGACCGGCCACACUGGGACUGAGACACGGCCCAGACUCCUACGGGAGGCAGCAGUGGGGAAUAUUGCACAAUGGGCGGAAGCCUGAUGCAGCGACGCCGCGUGAGGGAUGACGGCCUUCGGGUUGUAAACCUCUUUCAGCACGGAAGAAGCGAAAGUGACGGUACGUGCAGAAGAAGCGCCGGCUAACUACGUG